rnacentral:rRNA from 1 species
GGAACAGCAUGACGCGUAGACACUCCGGUGAGGAGUAGCGUCAGUUCAGAUCGUACGCUGCUGCUCACCUACGUGAAGGAAGAAUCGCUAGUAAUCCCAAGUCAGCAUACUGCGGUGAAUACGUUCCCGGGCCUUGUACACACCGCCCGUCACACCAUGGAAGUUGGCCAUGCCCGAAUCCGUUACUCCGACCCUUGUGGAAGAGGACGUCUAAGGUGGGAGCUGAAGACUGGGGUGAAGUCGUAACAAGGUAGCCGUACCGGAAGGUGCGGCUGGAUCACCUCCUAA